CACAGGCAAAGAUAUUAGAGACACUAUUUGUAGACCAUUACAUUUACUGGGUAAGUUUUCAAAUUUCGUUUUACCAAUAUUUUCUCAUAGAGAGAUUGGAUAUAUAUGCCUAGUAUUUAUUCUUUUGACAUCUCUGGCGGAGGGACUGAGUCAGAGAGGAUUAAAAUUUUUGGUAAAUUUGGUAGCUAGGAUUGCGAUGGAUAACUGUUGUGAGCAGUGGACACAGCCAUUUCUCUCUCUCUUUCUCUUUCACUUUCACUCUCUCUGACAAAUCUGUGAGACACCAAACAGUCCCCUCUCUUAUUCAAUACUCCUACCUUCUUUUCCUUCACAGAAACUCUAUAUAUUUAUGCCCUACCACCUCUCUUCAUCCCUCAGUUCUCCAUCUCAUGCCUCUCUCUCCCUUUCUUGUGAGCUUUUUUUCUUACCUAGCCUUUUAAACUUUUCUUCUUGUAUGCAUACAAGAGUUUUUUUUUUUUUUCAAAAUACCAAGCGGGUCUUUCAUUAAAAUCUUAGACCUAAACAUGGGUAUGAACAUUUUUGAUGCAUUAUUUUUUAUGUUUCUUUGCUUUUCAUUCAUGGGAUCAGAUUUAGGGUUAGGGUUAGGGUUCUUUUCCUUUCCUUUCCCUAUCUCUUGCAUGGACUGAGAAUGACAAAGUAGAUCUUAAAGACAUACAGUCACUGUUUGCGGAUGGAGCAUCAUCAAGAUUCACAAACUUUUUGAGGGCUUUGUGGGGUGUGGUCACCUAGCUUUCUGCACAGUCCACUUCAAAUGGCCUUUGAAAUGGGAAUCUUGAUGAUGCUGCAGCGGCAAUUAAUGGCUAAUACUUUUACUAACAGGUUACUACUGAAGAACGGUCUCAUAAUUAAGGUACCAACAGUACUGGUGAAGGUAAACCAUCUAUUUUUGUUUUAAAGAAGUACCCUAUUUUAUAUUUUCAUAGAAUUUUUUAUUCAUGGAUUAAAAACCACUAAUUUUGAUAGUUUAAACUGCAGCUUCUGUUGUUAUUGACUAAACUUUUUGCUGGAAAAGUAAACCAUCUAUUUUUGUUUUAAAGAAGUACCCUAUUUUGUUUCUCAAAAAAAAAAGAAAAAAGAAGUACCCUAUUUUAUAUUUCAUAGAAUUUUAUUCAUGAAUUAAAAACCAUUAAUUUUGAUAGUUUAAACUGCAGCUUCUGUUGUUCAUCAAAAAAAAACUGCAGCUUCUGUUGUUAUUGACUAAACUUUUUGCUGGUAAAGUAAACCAUCUCUUUUUGUUUUAAAAAAAGAACCCUAUUUUAUGUUUUAUAGAAGUUUUCAUUCACGGAUUUAAAACCACUAAUUUUGAUAGUUGCAACUGCAGCUUUUGUUGCUAUUGGCUAAAUAUUUUAGUCCAUCAAAUGCUGGUAAGGUUAACUUUGAAUGAGGCUAGGGUUUUGUCAUUUGUGUUGGCUUAGGCUAACCUCAACUUGUAACGUGUUGUGUUAAAAAUGGUUGUACAUGAUCCAUAUGGCAAUAUACUGUGAUCUGUGUUGUUUGAAGAUUUUCUUUUCAGUGAUGAGGGAUUUGGUGGUUUCUCUGAACCUUUCUCAAAAGGUUAUCCGUACUGCGAAACACCUGGGUCUCAGCAGGUAUGUCUGUACUUUGGUGGAACAUUGUCACACAGAGAAAUCAUGGUGCCUUUUGUUAGUAGAUAUUUGGAUGUUUUUGAACCGCUUUUUCUUUUUCUUUCAGGGUCUUGAUGUUUAUUUUGAUCUAAUAUAUUACCAAUCUACGCAAGCUUAAGAUAAUUGACCAGCUUUUUACUACUUCUCUCUCUAAUGUCUUUGGAAUACACAACAAGUAGAACGUACAAUCAUUUUGUUGGUUUCGUACAUAAAAAUCAUGGAGUUCCAUUGGUUGUCCUCUGGCAUCUGAAUGUGUAAGCUGCCCUUUCAUGGGGAACAUUUUUGAUUUGUUGUGCUUGUUUAAUGCUCACAUCUUCCUCAACUCUUUUUGAAAUUUUAAGGGGUGUUUAGUAGAGUAGUUUGAGAAUUAUUGUUUGAAAUUUUUUGAAAUAUAUGUGAGUGAAAAAGUGUAUAAUGUUAUAUAAAAUAUAGAAAUGUGAGUUUGAACUCACUUACCAAAUAGGCCCUAAAAUUUUGUUUUCAAGGAUGAAACUAAAGAUUUGCUUACACUUUUGGAUUUUUUGGUAACGAUGUUAAAGUUAUCUUUUUCAAAUCUUCAAUCUUGUGUACAUUCAUGAAGGAGAGUGCUUAGUCUUCAUCAAUCAUGGACUUUUUAGGGUUGGCAAAGCUUUCUUUGUUGUAUUAUUUGUAACAAUGAUGCUAGAGUCAUUGCAAAUUUUAUUAAAUGGGUUAUUGAACACUCCAGAAUGAGUUUUUGUUUGGCUGUGGAAGGCUGUUACAAUUUGAAGCCACUCCUUUUUUAUGACCUUUUCCCAUUUCCUUACCCGUACUCUCUGUGUCUCUUUAUACACUUUGAUAUUGACUACACUAGGCUGGCUAUAAGAUGCCAUUUAUAAAUUAUAAGUUCUAUGGAGUUUGAUUUCGGUAUAUUUAAUUUGUAUAACCAGAACAAAAGUAUUGACAGGAAAAAGAAGCUGAAUUCUAUACUAGAGAACACAGGUCAGUCAGUGAUGGGAAUACUGGUGAUCAUAUGAGGUCUAAUUUUUCAGCAAUUAAUUACGGAUACAAGGAGCAAUCAAGAGUUUGUACUACUUGUGUACUAAGAUAAGUAGAUCAACUCUGAGUUCGAGUAGCUCUAGUAUUAUUAUAUUUCGAAUUGAAAAGUAUUUAUUACCCAAACUAUUUUACACAAUUUUAUGUAACUGAAAUUAUGACUUUUAAGUCAUGAUUUCUAACUUGGAAGUCCAGUUGCUUUAGGAGAGUGUGCAAACAUAUGUAAAAUAAUUUAUUCACAACAAGUUUAACCCUUUCUAAUUUUUAUGGAAAAUUUUAGACUUUUUAAUGGAUAACUUUUUCAAGAUUCAGCUGUAUGCAUGUUUACCUAAUGAACCUAAUAAAAUAAGUCUGUCUAUAUAAGUAAGUCCAUCCAAAUUCACACUUUGAAUUACAUGAUCCUACAUCAUUCCCUCUUGCUCUAUCUUGCUUCUUUAGAUCUGAUCUUUCUCUUUUCAUGCUAUGAUUUUGUUUAUUUAUAUUCAUAGGAAUGUUUGAAUGUGCGGAAAGCUGAACAGUUACAUUUAUAACAUAUGUGGGUGCGGAUGCAUUCAAGUGAUUCAUAUUAAUUGGCACUGUUAUUUCUUCCCAUGAAAGUACAUAUGCCAUCUCAUAUUCUUGUAGUUUAAUGAAGUGAGCAAAAUUCAUAAAUAAAUCAAAUUUAAUACGGGUAUGUUUGUAAUCAUAGAAGGGAAUGAGAUGGAGGAGAGGAGAGAGGAAGAUAGUCAGAAUUGAAAUAUAUGGCUAGUUGUCUAAUGGUGGUUCACAUUCAAUAAAUUUUCUGCUCUUGAUCAUACAAUCCAUUGCAGCAUGAAGCACGAUGCCUGCUCAAUGAGGACCUGUGCGCUUUGCUUUAUACAGAUUUUGAAGAAAUUCCAUUCCAUCCUUUUGUAGUAUUUAGAAUUUAAUUGAGUCACUCUGAUUAGUAAUUAGUUCAAAUGAGCACUUUUGAGUGUCUUACUGAUUAGAUCUGUUUUUGCUCACUUGUUCUAAAUUUAGUCGUGCCCAGCAAUGUCAUUGCUUGUAUGUUUGAAAGCCAUGUGAUUGUAUUUUCUCUGGAUUGGUUAGCGAACAGUGUAGCACUUCAAAACCUCGCCAUGUACCUAUUCACUUAUUUUUUAACUAGCAUCAGCAUUAAACAAAAACAAAUAAAUUUGCUAA